rnacentral:rRNA from 1 species
AAGCCUGAUCCAGCCAUGCCGCGUGCAGGAUGAAGGCCUUCGGGUUGUAAACUGCUUUUGUACGGAACGAAAAGGCUUUCUCUAAUAAAGGGGGCUCAUGACGGUACCGUAAGAAUAAGCACCGGCUAACUACGUGCCAGCAGCCGCGGUAAUACGUAGGGUGCAAGCGUUAAUCGGAAUUACUGGGCGUAAAGCGUGCGCAGGCGGUGAUGUAAGACAGUUGUGAAAUCCCCGGGCUCAACCUGGGAACUGCAUCUGUGACUGCAUCGCUGGAGUGCGGCAGAGGGGGAUGGAAUUCCGCGUGUAGCAGUGAAAUGCGUAGAUAUGCGGAGGAACACCGAUGGCGAAGGCAAUCCCCUGGGCCUGCACUGACGCUCAUGCACGAAAGCGUGGGGAGCAAACAGGAUUAGAUACCCUGGUAGUCCACGCCCUAAACGAUGUCAACUGGUUGUUGGGUCUUCACUGACUCAGUAACGAAGCUAACGCGUGAAGUUGACCGCCUG